UACGUAGGGUGCAAGCGUUAAUCGGAAUUACUGGGCGUAAAGCGUGCGCAGGCGGUUAUGUAAGACAGAUGUGAAAUGCCCGGGCUUAACCUGGGAACUGCAUUUGUGACUGCAUGGCUAGAGUUUGGCAGAGGGGGGGGUAGAAUUCCACGUGUAGCAGUGAAAUGCGUAGAUAUGUGGAGGAACACCGAUGGCGAAGGCAGCCCCCUGGGUCAAGACUGACGCUCAUGCACGAAAGCGUGGGGAGCAAACGAGGAUUAGAGUACCCCGGUAAGAUCCGAU
rnacentral:rRNA from 1 species